UGAGGAAUAUUGGUCAAUGGACGAGAGUCUGAACCAGCCAAGUAGCGUGAAGGAUGACUGCCCUAUGGGUUGUAAACUUCUUUUAUAUGGGAAUAAAGUUCAGUAUGUAUACUGUUUUGUAUGUACCAUAUGAAUAAGGAUCGGCUAACUCCGUGCCAGCAGCCGCGGUAAUACGGAGGAUCCGAGCGUUAUCCGGAUUUAUUGGGUUUAAAGGGAGCGUAGGCGGACGCUUAAGUCAGUUGUGAAAGUUUGCGGCUCAACCGUAAAAUUGCAGUUGAUACUGGGUGUCUUGAGUGCAGCAGAGGUAGGCGGAAUUCGUGGUGUAGCGGUGAAAUGCUUAGAUAUCACGAAGAACUCCGAUUGCGAAGGCAGCCUGCUGGACUGUAACUGACGCUGAUGCUCGAAAGUGUGGGUAUCAAACAGG
rnacentral:rRNA from 1 species